rnacentral:lncRNA from 1 species
GUCUCUCUAUGCUUGUGACUCAAGCAACACUACCCACUGAGCCAUCCCACUACUAUCCCAAACUCCAGGUUUCUUCCAGAUCUUUCAUUUCCAGAAAGAAUAUGACUCAUUCAAGCUGAAAGGUGAGCUAGCUCCACCUCCUCUCCUGUCUACACCGACGAAUCGGCAGCAGAGAGCGCUCCCGUCUGAAAGGCGUCGUCUUUGCGAGAUGCGCCUGGCUCUUAAGUACAGCAAUGUUGUGGAUGUAGUUGUCUACUUAUUACAGGAGGGCUUAAUCCUUCUGACUGGGCUGUAACAAUCAACCCUUAACGGUUUACAUCACAGUGACUUUGGUUUUAAAGAUAAAACCUCCAGCAAGCAGGCAUCAUCAUCAUCCCUGCGGUUCCUUUCCCUGAAAGACCAGUGGGUCUCUAUUCUCACACCCAGCACCGCUGGUGAGAUCUGAAAAGAGACAGAUUCCAACCGAGGGAGUGUUGAAAACCGCCAUAAAAAAAUAUGCCUGGCUUUCUUCUUUAUGUGGUUAUGUAAACUGGAGUUAAUUUUUGUUGAAAACAGAAAAAGGAUGCCACAGCAGACUAACAGGGAGACCAGGAAGGCCGACACAACAAACCCCA